UACGCGUAGCGGGCGGAGAGUCUGGGCUGGGAGCGGCGGCGGCCAGAGGAGGGGUUUGCGGCUCGGCGUCGCUGCAGAAGUGUCGGCCUCUCGGGGAGCUGCCCCUGUGUAUAUGUGUGUGUGUUUGUGUGUGUGCGCGCGCGCGCGCGCGGCGGAGUGACUUGCUCGCUCUCUGCCUGGAGCCUCCGCUGGGGUUGUUGUGAUACGCCGCCGCCGCCGCCGCCUGAUCUCCUUUCUCCCCCCGUCACUCCAGCAGCCCAGCGGUGGCGGAGGGGGAGGAGGAGAGUGAAGAGUCGCUGGGCUCGAUCUCCGGGGGGCUCCCCUUCCCCAGCCAGCCAGCCAGCCAGCCGACGCACCCGCCGGCGCCGAAAGCACCCCGAAUCCCCUCUCGGAUCUAUUGCCAAGCCCGAAGGGAAAACUGGCAUCAACAUCUGGGCGAGCGCAUCUGGGCAUGCAACGCCGAUUUUUCCCGGAUUCCGCGCGCAUCCAGGAAGGAGAGCGGUUCCUCUUCUCUGGCUGAGCCCUCAGUCUUCCUAGAAGGGUUCCAUUUUUGAACCGCUUUUUUAACCGAAAAGGAAGCGAGGAAACGAGCUAGAGGGAGACGGCGUAGGAAUCCCAAGGCAGCUUUCUUUUUUUCCUUCCCCCAGGGAUUCAGUUCAUGGGGAUGUGUUCAAGGCAAGAGAGGAUUCAGAAGGAUAUUGACAUAGUGAUCCAAAAGUGCAAGGCGGAGAAGGACUGCUUGUUUGCAGAUUUCAGAUACGCAGAUUCCACUUUUACCUUCACCUACGUUGGAGGAUCCAAAAGGUGUUUAUCUGCAAAAUGUGUUGGGCAAAAAAAGGAUUUGGACAUUCCUA